rnacentral:miRNA from 1 species
AGAUUACUAGACUCCAUCGCCCCAGUUUCUGAUUUAGUAGAUCUGGGGUGGGGCCAGGGAAUUUGC